UUGUGAAUAUUUUUCUGUUCUGAUUUUGUAAUAAUCAGGACAAGUUAAACAUUCACUAUAAUAAUACUAUGCGUGGGUCCCCAGGCCUAGCUCUUUACCUACCUUGGCCUGGUUUUAGAAAUGCUGAUGAUAAAU